rnacentral:lncRNA from 1 species
CUCUCUUCCCCUCGCCAAGGGUUCCGCCUGCACCUGCUAGCUGCAGCAUGGGACGGUGGAGAGAAGAUCAUCGGCAAGGGAGGUAACCAGUUGAGACUGAGUUUAAGGUAGGCAUUCUUUCUCCGCUCUGUUCUCAACUCCAUGAAUCUCCUCCUGAAGUCCACUAGUCCACUCCCAGAUCUCACAACCACAAUUCUCGAUCUCUCAACUUGCUUAUAUUUAUGAUUUGGUAACAAGUUGCGGUGGUGAUUGCUUAACUUUCCCUUGAUUUUGUUUGCUUUUGUUUCUACACUGUUAGGUUAUGAAGGUUACAAUUACGUACAGAUCUUAACAAGGACUUAUCCUUGGGAUGUAGAGAAUGAAGUUAUAUUGGUCUUAAUUAAUUAAAAAACAGCUCUGAAGGGUUAGCCCAUAGAUUGAGACCACCGAGUUAUGGUGGAGUUGGUUUCUACUUUCUGUUGGUACUGUAAGGGAGAUCGAUCCCCCGUAAAUCUGCAAUUUUUUUGUAUUUGAGAGAUGGUGUCGGCUGUGAGCUGAUGCCGAUUUUGCUUCUAUCAUGCACAGUUAAAACUUAACUGCUCACAAAUGUUCAGCUGAUGCAGAUGAUGCACGGGCAUUGCACUAAAUUUGUUAACAUUAUAAACUGAACUAUUGAUUCGGUAACUCUACUUUUGGUUUAACGGAUCUAUAGAGAAUUCAUGCAAUAGACAUCUAAAGUUGAAACUUGGAGAUCAUCUUAUAUCCUCAUGUUCACCUCUCAGUUCCCACCUUUUUUUUGUGUCUCAUUCAUUCAUCGAAGAUAAGUUCAGUUGCAUUUGCUCAAGCUAGCUGCAAAAUUUAUGUGUCUUAGAUGAAAUAAUUGGUAUGAAGAAUGUAUGUCGUACCCAAAUGAGUUAACAUGCUUCUCAUUCUUGUCAGUAUGAAGAUCAUGCAUGGCUAGGAUACUUCAGACCAAGCAUAUGAGUUGGGGUUGGGAUGUACUACUAUGGAUGGCUAUAUUUUUCAGAGUAGAUCAGUGAACUCAAUAAGAUGUGGGAUAAGUGGCAUGACCAAAUGCCAGUGACAAUAUAUGACUCUUCACCACUUGGAUACUGCCAGCAUAUCACAAUGAGCAAGGAGGAAACAAUACUUGGAUGUUCCUUGCAAUAUUGUUUUACCAUGCGAAGGUACAUUCCAGCCCAACCAAUUACUGUUAUCUGAAAUUGUGUUGGGAGCAGCAAGCUAAAGAUUUCCAAACGAUGCAAACAUGUUUAGAUCAACUAUAUAGACCGGUUCAUGCAAAUUUAACCUAUGC